UCUCGUUCCAGCCCAGGAUGAAAAUGCCCUGUGUGCAAGGAGGGGAGCAGGGACUGAUAUGGGUCAUGAGACUCUCAAAAGGAUUACCUUGAACUGAAGUCAUGAGACCAAGGCUUGAACAAAGAGCCGGCUCACAUGCUCAUCAUAUGAGCCCCACUUCAUAAAGUCAUGUCGUUUCAUAUCUGCUGGGCUUCAGUGGGCUAGGAGGACCCGGGUGAGAGCAGCUAGAGAGCUGGAGCUGGAGCUGGUGUGAAGUUUCUUGAGAGUUCUUAGAUUUAUUCAGAGUUCUUGAGUUCUUGAGUUCUUGAGUUCUUAGAAAGUUCUUGAGUUCUUGAGUUCUUAGAAAGUUCUUGAGUUCUUGAGUUCUUCUUUACUAGUAGUUGGAUGUUAUAGUGUUGAGUUACUCUUGUGCUCCUCUUGAAGUUUCGCCUGGAUGCUCUUCCACUGACGGCGCACAAAGCUUGGAUUGAGAAGACGUUUCAGAAAAGAGAGUGCAUCCAAAUAUUUCCCAGCAAAGAACCAAACAGGUGCAGUUGUGGUCAGGUAGUGAACCAGCAUGUAGAAAGCACUAGGAAGUGGUUAUAACGCAUUAUAACACCAGCAAUAAGCAUUUAUAACCCCCCUUAUGUCCUCCCUUUCUACCUCCAGGUGCAGUUGUGGUCAGGUAGUGAACCAGCAUGUAGAAAGCACUAGGAAGUGGUUAUAACGCAUUAUAACACCAGCAAUAAGCAUUUAUAACCCCCCUUAUAUCCUCCCUU